rnacentral:rRNA from 1 species
UACGUAGGGGGCAAGCGUUGUCCGGAUUUAUUGGGCGUAAAGAGCGUGUAGGCGGUUAGGUAGGUCCGUUGUGAAAACUCGAGGCUCAACCUCGAGACGCCGAUGGAAACCAUCUGACUAGAGUCCGGAAGAGGAGAGUGAAUUCCUGGUGUAGCGGUGAAAUGCGCAGAUAUCAGGAAGAACACCCGUGGCUAAGGCGGCUCUCUAGUACGGUACUGACGCUGAGACGCGAAAGCGUGGGGAGCGAACAGG